GCUUUCUUUUUUUGCCCUUUUUUUGGGUGGCUCAGCUGUUUAAUGAAUGUGUGCAUGUGUGUUAAAUAAUAACCAAAAACAAUAGUUUGUUUAUUUAAUGUGACGAUUAUUAACGUUAUACUUGUUUCAUUCUCAGGAGUUUUUUGGCCGGAGUGCCCUGGUGAAUCUGGCUGAAUCUGACUUCCAUCUGCACAAAAUGAUUGUAGGGUAAGGGUCAGGGUCAGGGUCGGAGUCAGUGUCUAGGGCGGCUUCAGUGACCGAGUUUCCUGAAUCUAAGAGAGUGAUGGGUGUGGAAGCUGGCCUAUGCCCAAGAAUGCAGUCCAACUCUUUGUAAAAUUUGCACUGUUUCCUUCCAUUGCCAGUUUUGUUAUUGUGAUCUUUGAUUUCUUUGUAGCUUGUUUUAAGGUUUUUAACUUUAGAACGGCACUGUUUCCAAUCCCUGGUGUGUCCUUGUUUUUGCAAUUUUUUUGCAAUUUUUUCAUA